GCCUUGGGCAUCAUUUGUUUGUUAAAUUUCCCCAGGUGAUUCUCAAGCACAGUGAGGUCUACAAAAUGCUGCUCUAGGCCGGGCGCGGUGGCGCACGCUUGUAAUCCCAGCACUUUGGAGGCCGAGACAGGCGGAUCACAAUGUCAAGAGAUUGAGACCAUCUUGGCCAACAUGGUGAAACUCUGUCUCUACUAAGAAUAUAAAAAUUAGCCAGGCGUGGUGGCUUGUGCCUGUAGUCCCAGCUACUCGGAGGCUGAAGCAGGAGAAUCGCUUGAACCCGGGAGGCGAAGGUUGCGGUGAAGUCAUUAACGUCUACGCCACAGCUAUUGCCCCUGUGUGCAGAUGGUGCUCAGUCUCCCUUGUGCCUUCCAGACUUGCAUUCCAGCCACCUACCAAGACCCUUUCCUUGGAUUCCAAGAUCUAAUGGAGAUACACCAUAGGAGGAAAACAUGGCCCUGACUCUGAAAUUUGCAACCCAACUAAAAAUAGAUGUCAGCAAGCAGAAAACAGCAUCCUACACACUGAAUACUUCAAGCGGUAAGU